rnacentral:rRNA from 1 species
CACGAAGUUAGCCGGGGCUUCUUCUCCGGUUACCGUCAUUAUCUUCACCGGUGAAAGAGCUUUACAACCCUAGGGCCUUCAUCACUCACGCGGCAUGGCUGGAUCAGGCUUGCGCCCAUUGUCCAAUAUUCCCCACUGCUGCCUCCCGUAGGAGUUUGGGCCGUGUCUCAGUCCCAAUGUGGCUGAUCAUCCCCUCAGACCAGCUAUGGAUCGUCGGCUUGGUAGGCCAUUACCCCACCAACUACCUAAUCCAACGCGGGCUCAUCCUUUGCCGAUAAAUCUUUCCCCCGAAGGGCACAUACGGUAUUAGCACAAGUUUCCCUGAGUUAUUCCGUAGCAAAAGGUAGAUUCCCACGCGUUACUCACCCGUCUGCCGCUCCCCUUGCGGGCGCUCGACUUGCAUGUGUUAAGCCUGCCGCCAGCGUUCGUUCUGAGCCAGGAUCAAACUCU